rnacentral:pre_miRNA from 1 species
AGUGGGAUUGCUGGGUCAUAUGGUAAUUCAAUUUCUAGUGUUUUGAAGAACCUCCAUACUGUUUUCCAUUGUGGCUGUACUAAUCUGCAUUCCCAAUAACAGU